rnacentral:tRNA from 1 species
GGGGUGGUAGCUCAAUUCGGGAGAGCGUCUGUUUUACACACAGAAGGUCAGGAGUUCGAAUCUCCUCUACCCUACCA